AGCGAACGCUGGCGGCAGGCUUAACACAUGCAAGUCGAGCGGGCAUCCUUGUGGUGUCAGCGGCAGACGGGUGAGUAACGCGUGGGAACGUGCCCUUCGGUUCGGAAUAACUCAGGGAAACUUGAGCUAAUACCGGAUACGUGCGAGAGCAGAAAGGUUUAUCUGCCGAAGGAUCGGCCCGCGUCUGAUUAGCUAGUUGGUGAGGUUAUGGCUCACCAAGGCGACGAUCAGUAGCUGUCUGAGAGGAUGAUCAGCCACACUGGGACUGAGACACGGCCCAGACUCCUACGGGAGGCAGCAGUGGGGAAUAUUGGACAAUGGGGGCAACCCUGAUCCAGCCAUGCCGCGUGAGUGAUGACGGCCUUAGGGUUGUAAAGCUCUUUUCUCCGGGACGAUAAUGACGGUACCGGAGGAAUAAGCCCCGGCUAACUUCGUG
rnacentral:rRNA from 1 species